rnacentral:tRNA from 1 species
UAAAUAAGAAGCAAUCUUGCAUUUAAUUUCGACUUAAAAAAUAGAGUUUUUACUCCUUAUUUAA